rnacentral:rRNA from 1 species
CCUACGGGAGGCUGCAGUGGGGAAUAUUGGACAAUGGGCGAAAGCCUGAUCCAGCCAUGCCGCGUGUGUGAAGAAGGCCUUCGGGUUGUAAAGCACUUUCAGUGGGGAAGAAAGCCUUGGGGCUAAUACCCUCGAGGAAGGACAUCACCCACAGAAGAAGCACCGGCUAACUCCGUGCCAGCUGCCGCGGUAAUACGGAGGGUGCGAGCGUUAAUCGGAAUUACUGGGCGUAAAGCGCGCGUAGGCGGUCUGAUAAGCCGGUUGUGAAAGCCCCGGGCUCAACCUGGGAACGGCAUCCGGAACUGUCAGGCUAGAGUGCAGGAGAGGAAGGUAGAAUUCCCGGUGUAGCGGUGAAAUGCGUAGAGAUCGGGAGGAAUACCAGUGGCGAAGGCGGCCUUCUGGACUGACACUGACGCUGAGGUGCGAAAGCGUGGGUAGCAAACAGGAUUAGAUACCCGUGUAGUC